UACGGAGGGGGCUAGCGUUGUUCGGAAUUACUGGGCGUAAAGCGCACGUAGGCGGCUUUGUAAGUCAGAGGUGAAAUCCCGGGGCUCAACUCCGGAACUGCCUUUGAGACUGCAUCGCUUGAAUCCAGGAGAGGUGAGUGGAAUUCCGAGUGUAGAGGUGAAAUUCGUAGAUAUUCGGAAGAACACCAGUGGCGAAGGCGGCUCACUGGACUGGUAUUGACGCUGAGGUG
rnacentral:rRNA from 1 species